rnacentral:rRNA from 1 species
CAGCCGCCGCGGUAAUACGAAGGGGGCUAGCGUUGUUCGGAUUUACUGGGCGUAAAGCGCACGUAGGCGGACUUUUAAGUCAGGGGUGAAAUCCCGGGGCUCAACCCCGGAACUGCCUUUGAUACUGGGAGUCUUGAGUUCGAGAGAGGUGAGUGGAAUUGCGAGUGUAGAGGUGAAAUUCGUAGAUAUUCGCAGGAACACCAGUGGCGAAGGCGGCUCACUGGCUCGAUACUGACGCUGAGGUGCGAAAGCGUGGGGAGCAAACAGGAUUAGAUACCCCCGUAGCCCUGUCUCUUAUACA